rnacentral:lncRNA from 1 species
GACAAACUCACCUCUUCCUUAGGUGGAAGCCCCUUCGACGACUCACCAAGCUCAGACGUUGCCUUUCUUUUGACUCCGGCUUGCUUUGGACAGUUCCACAACUCAUGCGGACCACGGCACAAGAAGCACUUAACUCGCUUCUUUUUGCUCCUCUUUGCUCUCUUGGCUUCGGCUUUUCCCUUGCUCGAACCAAGCUUCUUGGGCUCCUUGUCUGCUCCAUCGUUCCCCUCGAU